rnacentral:rRNA from 1 species
UACGUAGGGUGCAAGCGUUGUCCGGAAUUACUGGGCGUAAAGAGUGCGUAGGCGGUUCUUUGUGUCCGCUGUGAAAGCCCCGGGCUUAACCUGGGAAUGGCAGUGGAAACUAGAGAACUUGAAUCUGGCAGAGGGGGGUGGAAUGCCACGUGUAGCAGUGAAAUGCGUAGAUAUGUGGCGGAACACCGAUGGCGAAGGCAGCCCCCUGGGCUGAGAUUGACGCUCAGGCACGAAAGCGUGGGGAGCAAACAGG